rnacentral:rRNA from 1 species
AGAGUUUGAUCCUGGCUCAGAAUCAACGCUGGCGGCGUGCCUAACACAUGCAAGUCGAACGAGAAAGUGGAGCAAUCCAUGAGUAAAGUGGCGCACGGGUGAGUAACACGUGACUAACCUACCCUUGAGUGGGGGAUAACCUAGGGAAACCUGGGCUAAUACCGCAUAAUACCUUCGGGUCAAAGGAGCAAUUCGCUUAAGGAGGGGGUCGCGGCCGAUUAGUUAGUUGGCGGGGUAAUGGCCCACCAAGACUGUGAUCGGUAUCCGGCCUGAGAGGGCGCACGGACACACUGGAACUGAAACACGGUCCAGACUCCUACGGGAGGCAGCAGUGGGGAAUUUUGCGCAAUGGGGGAAACCCUGACGCAGCAACGCCGCGUGGAGGAUGAAGCCCCUUGGGGCGUAAACUCCUUCGAUCGG